CCGGCUAUAUUGCGUCACUAUAAAAGACGACUCUCCGUCACGGUGGUCAUUGAGGGGCAGGAACGUGAACUGACGAGUCGACAACACGCUACUACGAUGAACAACGCAAUCAAGUGGUUGAUCUUGGCUUUUGCUGUCGCCAUGCUGAUCACAGGUGGUGAUGCUCUGACAUGCAAACGCUGUAUGGGUGUUUGGUGUUUUGAUGAAACAUGUCAACCAGGCCAAGUCUGCAUAUUCGUGCCAUUCUUCGGUGACCAGGGCUGUGCGAAUCCGUGAAUGUGACGACAGACAAACCCCCAACGCAAAAUGUCCCAAAAUGGACUUCUGCGACAUGGAAGGAUUUGUGGGGGUUGAAGAUCCAACCUAUCGUCUUGGUAGUUUAGUUGAGAAGCAUUCAAAAAUGUUGAAAAAAAUAAAUAAAAAGUGAUCAUCAAAUGAUGACUUUGCUCUUGCAUUGAGUUGAACAAUUUACCUAUCUUGUUGACAGAGGCCGAAAGCAGUCUCAAAAUUCAACUCUAAAAGACCGAGGUGAUUGUUUUGAUCAAUUGAUAUUUUCUGGGAUUUGGCCUGAGCGGAGACGCCCAUGUGACUUUUGGUCACCAUUAACAACUGUCUCGUUCAAAGCGCUAUUAAAGCUGCCAUCGGUGGCCCCGGUUCAUCAAUCGCGGACUCCGCCCCGAAUCUCUCGUCUUCCCUCCGAGUCGUACGCACUUCUCACAGGUGUCCCGCAGGGUUGGAUGCACGGUCCACCUUUGUUUGGAUGAAAUGACAACAAAAUGACCCUAACGAUAACACCUUUGCCGAUUUCAAUGCUGACCACAGAAUUGCAGUCUCAUCAAAGGAGACUGAAACCAGUCUUGUGACCGAUCCUCAAUUGGGCGCACGCUUAUUAAUAUAAAUAGGUGUGUAAAUAUGAUGAGUAAAUAAGAGCAGGUAUUAUAAAAACCAGCUCAGUGACCUAGAGGUUAGAGUGUCCGCCCUGAGACAGGAAGGUUGUGGCUUCAAACCCCGGCCGGGUCAUACCAAAGACUGUAAAAAUGGGACCCAUUGCCUCCCUGCUUGGCACUCAGCAUUAAGGGUUGGAAUUGGGGGGUUAGAAGGAGUGGAGCUCUUUACAAGCCCUAGGCUUUGUCACCUCCUUGCACAGUUAUUGAUAUAAUAAUAUGUGCUAAACAAUAAACUAAACUAAAAGACAACACUUAAGAGUAAAAUGAUCAUUGAGUGGCGGCAGUCUUACGGGACUUUUUUGAAGCGUAAAUCUCUGUCGUAAUUAUUUGGACGGGUGAUGAGUACAUAUUUACAUGCAUAAAUACAUGGGACAUAUUUGCUAAGAGGGCAGAGAAUUGCAAGUCAAACUGUUCAUUAAAGCCGCACGAUCUUCGUCAUUUGCAACUUGGAUGAGUGUAAACACGAAGAGCAAAUAAGAAUGUAAAACCUCUAUCCUCCUUCUUCCCGGCUAUAUUGCGUCACUAUAAAAGACGACUCUCCGUCAAGGUGGUCAUUGAGGGGCAGGAACGUGAACUGACGAGGGCUACUACGAUGAACAACGCAAUCAAGUGGUUGAUCUUGGCUUUCGCUGUCGCCAUGCUGAUCACAAGUGGUGACGCUCUGAUAUGCGAACGCUGUCUGGGUGUUAAGUGUUAUUACGAAACAUGUGAACCAGGCCAAGUCUGCAUAUUCGUGCCAUUCUACGGUCCCCAGGGCUGUGGGGAUCCGUGAAUGUGACGACAGACAAACCCCCAACGCAAAAUGUCCCAAAAUGGACUUCUGCGACAUGGAAGGAUUUGUGGGGGUUGAAGAUCCAACCUACCGUCUUGGUAGUUUAGUUGAGAAGCAUUCAAAUAUGUUGAAAAAAAUAAAUAAAAAGUGAUCAUCAAAUGA